AGCAGCCGCGGUAAUUCCAGCUCCAAUAGCGUAUAUUAAAGUUGUUGCAGUUAAAAAGCUCGUAGUUGAAUUUCGGGGUUAGUAGGUCGGUCGUGCCACUGGUAUGUACUGGCUUUACUGAUUCCUCCCUCUUGUAGAACCGUAAUGCCAUUAAUUUGGUGUUGCGGGGAAACAGGACUGUUACUUUGAAAAAAUUAGAGUGUUUAAAGCAGGCUAACGCUUGAAUACAUUAGCAUGGAAUAAUGAAAUAGGACGUCGGUCUUAUUUUGUUGGUUUCUAGGAUUGACGUAAUGAUUAAUAGGGAUAGUUGGGGGCAUUAGUAUUCAAUUGUCAGAGGUGAAAUUCUUGGAUUUAUUGAAGACUAACUACUGCGAAAGCAUUUGCCAAGGAUGUUUUCAUUAAUCAAGAACGAAAGUUAGGGGAUCGAAGACGAUCAGAUACCGUCGUAGUCUUAACCAUAAACUAUGCCGACUAGGGAUCGGAUGAUGUUAAUUUUUUAAUGUACUCAUUCGGCGCCUUUACGGGAACCUAAAGUGGUUUU
rnacentral:rRNA from 1 species